UUAGUACUUCCUCCGUUCCAAUUUUUUUAUUUUAGAUUUGUCUAGAUAUGAAUGUAUCUAGUCAUAUUUUAAUAUUUAGAUACAUCUAUUUCUAGACAAACUUAAGACAAGAAUUUUAAGACGAAGGGAGUAUAUU
rnacentral:pre_miRNA from 1 species